rnacentral:lncRNA from 1 species
UAUUUUCACAAAAAGCAAUUUUGUGAUUAAUCACAUUUACAUGCACAAUCUAGUUUUGCAAUAAAAUAUAAGCAAGAGAUUUUGCUGUUGGAAGCCCUCCGACCACCACCACCCUUGCUUCAAAAGCUUAGUCUGUAAGGAAGGAAAGCUGGAUCUGGAGGUGUUGCCUAGCUUAUUAAUCUCUUUUUUGAUGCAAAUG